GUGUGGAAGUACACGGAGUGGCGGACGGCUGAGUAACGCGUAGGAAUGUACCCCAAAGUGAGGGAUAAGCACCGGAAACGGUGUCUAAUACCGCAUGUGCUCUAAGGAGUAAAGCUUCGGCGCUUUGGGAACGGCCUGCGUAUGAUUAGCUUGUUGGUGAGGUAAUGGCUCACCAAGGCGACGAUCAUUAGCUGGUCUGAGAGGAUGAUCAGCCAGACUGGGACUGAGACACGGCCCAGACUCCUACGGGAGGCAGCAGUAGGGAAUUUUCCACAAUGGGCGAAAGCCUGAUGGAGCAACGCCGCGUGCAGGAUGAAGGCCUUCGGGUUGUAAACUGCUUUUAUAAGUGAAGAUUGUGACGGUAACUUAUGAAUAAGGAUCGGCUAACUCCGUG
rnacentral:rRNA from 1 species